rnacentral:rRNA from 1 species
GAUGAACGCUGGCGGCGUGCCUAAUACAUGCAAGUCGAGCGAACAGACGAGGAGCUUGCUCCUCUGACGUUAGCGGCGGACGGGUGAGUAACACGUGGAUAACCUACCUAUAAGACUGGGAUAACUUCGGGAAACCGGAGCUAAUACCGGAUAAUAUAGUGAACCGCAUGGUUCAAUAGUGAAAGACGGUUUUGCUGUCACUUAUAGAUGGAUCCGCGCCGCAUUAGCUAGUUGGUAAGGUAACGGCUUACCAAGGCGACGAUGCGUAGCCGACCUGAGAGGGUGAUCGGCCACACUGGAACUGAGACACGGUCCAGAGUCCAACGGGAGGCAGCAGUAGGGAAUCUUGCGCGAUGGGCGAAAGCCUGACGGAGCAACGCCGCGUGAGUGAUGAAGGUCUUCGGAUCGUAAAACUCUGUUAUUAGGGAAGAACAAAUGUGUAAGUAACUAUGAACGUAUUGACGGUACCUGAUCAGAAAGCCACGGCUAACUACGUG